GUUUAACCCCUUCCUCUCCAUCCAGCACGGCGGGAGUGGGACCCUGAGGGUGGGGGCACCCUCAGGGCACUAUAGUGCAAGGAAAACUAGUAUGUUUUCCUGGCGCUAUAGUGGUCCUUUAAUGAAUUAAUAGUGACUAUAUAAAUAGUUAUGAUUUGUAUUUACUCAAGCCAAUGUUACCAAUUUCUGAAAGGGUUGUGCAUUGCAUUGUUAUAUUGUAAUCUGUGUUAUUAUUUAAUGAUCCAACAUAUUGCAAGAACCUACAAUAACAAAUCUACACACUGGAGUUUGCUUGAAAGUAGGCUAUUUAAAGUAGUCUUUUUUAAGUAGGAGUUAAAACAACAGGAGUUUGUUGGUGAACUGGUGGACUGUGGUUGGUAUUAGUUAAUACCAAGUGGAAAAGAAAAG